GUGUCAGCCGCCGCGGUAAUACGUAGGUGGCAAGCGUUGUCCGGAAUUAUUGGGCGUAAAGCGCGCGCAGGCGGCUUCUUAAGUCUGAUGUGAAAGGCUGCGGCUCAACCGCAGACGGUCAUUGGAAACUGGGGAGCUUGAGGGCAGAAGAGGAGAGUAGAAUUCCACGUGUAGCGGUGAAAUGCGUAGAGAUGUGGAGGAAUACCGGUGGCGAAGGCGGCUCUCUGGUCUGCAGCUGACGCUGAGGCGCGAAAGCGUGGGGAGCAAACAGGAUUAGAUACCCUGGUAGUCCAUGCCGUAAACAAUGAGUGCUAAGUGUUAGGGGGUUUCCGCCCCUUAGUGCUGCAGCUAACGCAUUAAGCACUCCGCCUGGGGAGUACGACCGCAAGGUUGAAACUCAAAUGAAUUGGCGG
rnacentral:rRNA from 1 species